rnacentral:rRNA from 1 species
CCUACGCGUGGCAGCAGUGGGGGAUAUUGCACAAUGGGCGAAAGUCUGAUGCAGCGACGCCGCGUGAGGGAAGACGGUCUUCGGAUUGUAAACCUCUGUUUUUGGGGAAGAAUAGAGACGGUACCCACAGAGGACGCUCUGGCUAACUAUGUGCCAGCAGCCGCGGUAAUACGUAGGGCGCGAGCGUUGUCCGGAAUUACUGGGUGUAAAGGGAGCGUAGGCGGGCUUGUAAGUGGAAUGUCUAAGCCACCGGCUCAACCGGUGAUCGCGUUAAAAACUGCAGGUCUUGAGUGAAGAAGAGGCAGGCGGAAUUCCUAGUGUAGCGGUGAAAUGCGUAGAUAUUAGGAGGAACACCAGUGGCGAAGGCGACCUGCUGGGCUUUAACUGACGCUGAGGCUCGAAAGCGUGGGGAGCAAACAGGAUUAGAUACCCCUGUAGUC